UAUAAUAAUUGAAGAAUGUUAUUCAUGCAGAAAUUCCGUGCGCCCUUCAGGGAAUUCGGUUUGUUGUUCUCUUGCACACACGAAUUGCGAAAUUCAAACGGAGGAUGCUGGAUGUCUCCUGUCCGUACUUCUAAGGCAGAAGAAAUGCUCUGUGUGCUCGCGUGUGUGACGCAUGGAAUAUUCAUGGCAUCUGCAGUGUGAGUAUAAAGUAUACGCGACUGUUUGCGCUCGGCAUGUGUUUAUAUCGGGGACGGCGAUAAAGAAGACUCGAGGGCAUCGCCUCGGUAGUAAGCGUCACUUAACCGGGAAUUAACGGCCCACGAAAUCAUCCCGAUUUUCCGGCCAGCAGCUGGAUCUUAACCUCAUACCGCCCGCUGGUUGUGUUGUGUUUAAUGUGUGCGUGCGUACUUGCCGCACGGAGCUAUAAAACGGCCAAUAAUUGCAAGAUAAAUAAUCCGUCUUUGCUUUAUUCUGUCCGUCACACCAUUAUAUAGCUGUGGAAUCCUCUUAAAAGUGUUUUGGUUAUUUGAAAGUGGAAUUUAAGUGUUGAAUGAAACAACAUUAAUCAUAACCUCAAUGUCAGAGGUAAAUUAAACCAAUUGCAAAUCGUACAAAUACAUAAAAAAGUGUUUUUAUGAGUUUUGGAAUAGUUUGCUGCAGUUUUCGGCGUUGGCCGAUUGCCACUCAAAGUCUCCUACUAUCCUCGACUGGAAGGGUAAUCACGGACGUGUCAGCGUGCCCGGAUCCAGCACCCGCCAGAUUGCUGAAAUUUUCCAGCGAGGCGCUAUUGAAUUUCGUGAUACGUGACGAUAUUGUGCGCCGAGCGCGCCAUAGUAACACGACGCGGCGUGUCGUUACCGCUGGUAACCGACCAACCAACAUUGGAACAUUGCAAGAGUAACAGAAAUAUGCUCUGCUUCACACUCCCAAUUCCACUAGCAUGGUGGCAAAAAUAUUUAAUGAAUAUCUACUCGCGUUGAAACAAUAUCAAAGUACUGCGCGUGGUGGUAGAAUGAAAAUGGAAAGGACAGAAUGAACAAAAUUUCGUUUAGCGCGCGGUAGUAAUUAAUUUCCUAACGACAACUGGAAAAGCGAUUAAGCGUGCGCCGGUCAAAGGCAAAGAAAAAGGAGAAAAGCAACGGCGAGAGUUGCGCGAAUCGUGCCCGGGAUGCGGGGGCGUCACACCGUCUCGCAGGCAGAGCUGGUCGCCAUGGCAACGCCGCCAGCCACCCCGGGUAGAUAUUGAUCUGCAAAAGGGGAUCCCCGAAACGGCCGGCUACAGCAGCCACAGCAGCAGCAGCAGCAGCGGUGUUCACCAUCAUCGACCCCAACACUAUAUACUGACACUCACACAGCAUCCCCGUACGCGUGCAACGCGUGCAAAAAAAAUAUGUAGGAGUACAUGCCACCCCCGUUACUUUUGCCCGUGCGACCUUCUUUUCGGCGUGUGUGCAAUUUGCCCGCCUCGUUGUGUGUUAUUCUUUUCGCGUUACACGUCGCCGCGUUUCUUUUGAUGUAUUUCGCACAUCGCACGCGACGUUUGCCGCCCGCAAAUUGUUUUAUUUCGUAUCGCUCUUUCUCGCAUCCUGCGUGUUGCAGGAGUUGGCGCGAUUUGCUUGGUUUUUGGGUGUUUAAUUUUGCGCAUCGAUUUUCUUCUCGCUGGCGUGUGCAUCUUGUAUUCUAUUCCAUCUGCUCGACAAAGCGACUUUACGAGCUCGAGGGCGAACGGCGCAAGUUUCGCUACUACAACAUGGGUAUUUGCAUUCAGCGGAGUGCAUUUACAUGCGUCCUUUUUGGCGUGUGCGCCGCGGUAACGAAUUGUAAUUGAAGUUUUAGAAUUCGCCGCAGAGAAAAGCGCAACGCCCCGCGUGUUCUUAACACAAAAGCACGAUCUCGUCUCGAGUACAUGAAGAAAUGAAACCUGCUUCAAUUUCAAAUCUUAACAAUUUGGUCCUUUUUUGUAUAUUUUCAGAAAACUAUGAAAUAUCGAAGUGCUAUGAGACUUCUACUUCUAAGUAUCAUUAUCUGAGAUAUUUAGUUUGUUUUUUUGAAUGGAGAGGCGCUACAGUGAUAUUUUCUUUGAGUUCUUUUCUGUGGCUUCUUUUGUUCAUCUUUAACUGCAGUUUUCUAUGGCAUUUGUUCGAAGAUUGCUAUUAUUUUAGUUAGUAUUUGUCUUAUAACAUUAUUUCAGUAGGAAAAUUAUUAAAAAAUCUACAAUAUAAAAAUGAAUCGCAAAAUAUGUUGGUAAGCGCAUAACUCAACAACGCCUAGACCAAUUUGGCCAAUUCUUUUUUUAAAAUGCUCGUUAAAGGCCAAGGAUGGUUUUUACGACCAGAAAAAUUCGAAUAAAUGCCGAGAAAACCUUAAAGACAGCCCUUUUCUAUAAGAUAAAAGUUGGCAUUGAGAUUAAAUCAUAGUUAUAGUUAAAUAGUUGAAUCCGAGAUGGCGCACUAAAGUGCAUUAUUAGCAAUUCUUUAUAUAAUUAAUUUCUUUAAAAUAAAAUUGCGAAUGUUAUUGAUAGAAUUGACAAUUGUCUAGAACAAGAGAGUAAAAACGAAUUAUAUUUUUAUUAAACACUACCGGGGCGAAGUCGCGGGCAAAAGUUAGUAUCUUAUAUUUGGCUGCAAGUUCAGUUUUUUUUCGGUUUGUCAACCCUACUGUACUCAUGUAUAUGUAGGUGGUUUUUUAGGUGGUUACACUCCGGUUCUCUCAAUAAAGUGUACAAUUUAUAUUUUCCGCGCAAGUGAUUUUAUUUUCCUUUUGGCUGCCGGCAUAAUAAGCCAAAAGAGAAUCUUAAUUAUGCAUGUUCUGGCGAUGAACGAGUAGGAGGGGUGCCACUCGAGUCACUCGAGGCCGUUUCCAUAUUAUUUUCGCGUUCCUUUUUGCGGUCGGCGGUUUUAAAGCAAAACUCGAAUAAAACAUGAGCAAAGCGCAUUUUUAUUAUGAAGGGUUGUUGUUGCGUCGCUUAUUUUCGCCAAUGCUCUCUUUGAUCGAGAUAAGCCCUAUAAGAUCUAAAAAUACAAAUAAAUAUUAAAACGUAUAAA